AUGGGAAUAGAUUUUGUUUUAUUCUUGAUGGUUGACGCGCGGUUGAUCUGCUACUACAGUACAGUGUGUGAGUCACUCGGGUGCGGUGAGCCUGACGACCUGCUUGCCGACGUUGCGGCCGUGGUAGAGGCCGAUGAGCGCUGCGGGCGCGGCGUCGAGCCCGUCGGCGACGUCCUCCACGUAGACGACCCUGCCCUCCUUGAUGUGCGGGAGCACCCACGCCAUGUACUCGGGGUAGAGGUGCUUGUGGUCGGGCUCGAUGAAGCCCUGCAUGCGGAUGCGCUUGGAGACGAGGGAGGUGAGGUUGCGCACGCCGACGUCGGCCUCCUUCUCGCCGGCGGUGAGGUUGUACUGCGAGAUGAGGCCGCAGACGGCGAUGCGGCCGUGCACCUUCAUGUUGAGCAGCACGGCCUCGAGCAUCUUGCCGCCGACGUUCUCGAAGUAGACGUCGAUGCCGUCGGGGAAGCGCUUCUUGAGCGCGCCGGCGAGGUCGCCGCCCUCCUCCUUGUAGUUGAACGCGUCGUGGAAGCCGAACUUGUUGAUGAGAAGGUCCACCUUCUCCUUGGACCCGGCGCUGCCGACGACGUAGCAGCCCAUGAGCCUGGCGAACUGGCCGACGAGCUGCCCCACCGCGCCGGACGCCGCCGAGACGAACACCGUCUCGCCGGCCUUGGGGGAGCAGAUGCGGUGGAAGCCCACGUAGGCGGUGAACCCCGGCAUGCCCAGGACGCCCGUGUAGUAGGACAGCGGGAGGCCGUCCUCCGGCCGGAUCUUGGUGAGCUGGCCCGCAAAGGGCGGCUUGAUGACGCUGUAGUCCUCCCACCCCGUGACGCCUGA
rnacentral:rRNA from 1 species